ACAAACCUAAGUUGAUGAAAACUGAGGUAGUGAUUAACAGGAAAAACAAAAAAGAAAAGAAGCAGGGUCAUAGUCGACUACUUGACCGAGGAAUAAAAUCUAGAUUCAUGGUCAUAAUUGUGGAAAUGUAGAAUAAGAAUUGAGAGAAAAAAAAAAAAAAGAUGUAAGUAUUUGGGGAGGAUUGGGGGAGGGGAAGAGGGAACGGAAGAAAAACUUCUUGUCUACCACAUUAAGACGUCGAUGGAUGUUUAAGAUGAUGACUCAAGCGAUCUAAGAAUAGUGUUAUUUACAAAAUGGAGUGGUAAAGAAGAAACAGCUUUCAAGAGAAGAAGGGCCACCAGGAAGCACACCUUCAGGAAACACCAUUUCUGUUCUAGUCCAAAGGGCAUCAUCCACCUGGACCAGAAUGUGAGAUGCCCUUUGGAGUUGCACAGAGGUCCUGCCUCUUUCCACCUGCACUGCUGUCAGUCACCCUGGCCCGGCCACCACCCUCUCACUGUAUUUCUGCAGCUGAGACCUAGGCCUUAUGCAAGGGAAAGCCCAGGCCAGGAGGGGCCUCACAGCAAGAGUGAAGGAUGCUGCUUGGACAAAAGAGGAGGGUGGAAGAUUGGAUGCCACUGAGAAGCCCUUCCAUGCCCAGGAGCUGGCGCGGCAUGAACUUUGGGAGGCCCCAGAGCCUCUGACCCCCCUUCUAAACCAGCACCGUAUUCUGAUUGGCUGUCUCUGCCUGCCUCGGUUUAUUCUUCUUACUGAUCGACCACCUCCUUCCACCGUGUCAGAUCUCUGUUCCUACUGGGCCAGUCCCCCCCACCUGCCACAGGGUCACCCGGGAUGGCCUGGGUUCUGCAAGGCCUCGACGGCUUGCCUCUUGCCACCAUCAGAUUCUUCCUCAUUAAACAAAUGAAUCACAAUCCUAAUUAAUUUGAGCAACAGAAUUUAUGUAACUACUCCCAGCAGGAUGUCUGCUCUCAGUCGGUAGCAAGAUUAAUUCCUCUCUCUGGGAAAUUCCAGCCGUGCUGGUCAAUAAAGCUUUAAUGAUGA